CAAGUUCUUACCCUUGAUUUAAGAGAUGGUGCUGAUUCAGACAUUCGCACAGUGACACAGGUGCUAAAUGCAGUGCUGGAGGGAGUACAGAUCUGUGGAACCUGUUGCAGAAGCACUUUGGCAAUGUCACAGAGCAGAACUUAGUACUUCUGAGAGUACAUCCUAAAAAUGAAUGCCGAACCCUUAUGAACAGAUAAAGGUUAUUUGGUACAUAUUGGUGGUCUCUGUCCUUCAGUAUCUGAGGUCUCAUUUCCAGAAAUACCAAGUUUCUGAAAUUUCAAUUUAUGAUUCUUCUACUAAUUACAGAUAUGCAUCUCUUGCUUUCCAAAAAAAAAAAAAAACAGUGAUGUAAAGAUGGCUGUGAAAGGAAUGAUGCCAAAAAGAACCACAGAUAUAUAGAUCUGUCAGUGAACUCGUAUCCAGCACAUAUGAAGAACUCUAUAACACUUCAGUAAGAAUGCUGAAAUAAACCAACUCACUAAGAAAUGGGCAAAGGAACUGAACACUUUGUGAAAGAAGAUAUCAUUGGUCAAUAGGCACAUUAAAAGGUGCUUACAUCAGGAAAAUGCAAACGUAAACUUUGUGAGAUGCCAUAACAAACCCACUGGAAUGACAUAAAUUUUAUAAGAUGGACAAUACCAGGUGUAGAAAACUUGGAAUUCUCAUAUACUGCUGGUGGAAAUGUAAACUCUUCACUUUGGAUAACAGUUGUGCUGUUUCUAAUAAAGUUAAACAUACAUUUA